rnacentral:misc_RNA from 1 species
UCACGGUUUGCACCGGCAGUCUUGUUAGAGUUCCCACCAUUACGUGCUGGCAACUAAGGACAAGGGUUGCGCUCGUUGCGGGACUUAACCCAACAUCUCACGACACGAGCUGACGACAGCCAUGCAGCACCUGUCUCACGGUUCCCGAAGGCACCAAUCCAUCUCUGGAAAGUUCCGUGGAUGUCAAGGCCAGGUAAGGUUCUGCGCGUUGCAUCGAAUUAAACCACAUACUCCACCGCUCGUGCGGGCCCCCGUCAAUUCCUUUGAGUUUCAGUCUUGCGACCGUACUCCCCAGGCGGCGAACUUAACGCGUUAGCUUCGAUACUGCGUGCCAAAUUGCACCCAACAUCCAGUUCGCAUCGUUUAGGGCGUGGACUAC